rnacentral:piRNA from 1 species
UGAUUCUGUACAGGGAGUGCUCCUAAUCGC